rnacentral:rRNA from 1 species
GUCCACGCUGUAACGUUGAAUACUCGAUGUUGGCGAUAUACAGUCAGCGUCCAAGAGAAUCGUUAAGUAUUCCACCUGGGAGUACGCUCGCAAGAGUGAACUCAAGGAAUUGACGGGGCCCGGCACAAGUAGAGGAGCAUGUGGUUUAAUUCGAUGAUACGCGAGAAACCUUACCUGGUCUUGAAUGUGAGUGAUCGGUGCAGAAAUGCACUUUUCCGCAAGGACACAAAACAAGGUGCUGCAUGGCUGUCGU